CUAAUAGAUAACUAGGGUUCCGGUGAAUUUACUUCACGUCUGGUCCGAGAGUUGUCAACCUCAUGAGUAGAGGUCACACGGAGGGAUAAAAACCCGGGAGGU
rnacentral:sRNA from 2 species